rnacentral:tRNA from 1 species
GGGAAUGUGGCUUGGUGGUAGAGUGCUUGCCUUGCACGCAUGAAGACCUGGGUUUAAUUCCUCAGUACCA